AGAAUCAACGCUGGCGGCGUGCCUAACACAUGCAAGUCGAACGCGACUUGGGGCUUCGGUUCCAAGUUGAGUGGCGAACGGGUGAGUAACACGUGGGUGAUCUACCUUCGAGCGGGGGAUAACGUUCCGAAAGGACGCUAAUACCGCAUGACGUCCUGGGUUUAAAGACCUGGAGACCAAAGCUAGGGACCGCAAGGCCUGGCACUUGAAGAGGAGCCCGCGUCCGAUUAGCUAGUUGGCGGGGUAACGCCACAAGGCGACGAU
rnacentral:rRNA from 1 species